rnacentral:rRNA from 1 species
GAUGAACGCUGGCGGCGUGCCUAAUACAUGCAAGUCGAGCGAACAGACGAGGAGCUUGCUCCUCUGACGUUAGCGGCGGACGGGUGAGUAACACGUGGAUAACCUACCUAUAAGACUUGGAUAACUUCGGGAAACCGUAGCUAAUACCGGGUAAUAUAUUGAACCGCAUGGUUCAAUAGUGAAAUACGGUUUUGCUGUCACUUAUAGGUGUAUCCGCGCCGCAUUAGCUAGUUGGUAAGGUAACGGCUUACCAAGGCGACGAUGCGUAGCCGACCUGAGAGAGUGAUCGGCCACACGGGAGCGGAGACACGGUCAAGACUCCUAAGGGAGGCAGCAGUAGGGAAUGUGCCGCAAUGGGCGAAAGCAUGACGGAGCAACGCCGCGUGAGUGAUGAAGGUCUUCGGAUCGUAAAACUCUGUUAUUAGGGAAGAACAACUGUGUAAGUAACUAUGCACGUCUUGACGGUACCUAAUCAGAAAGCCACGGCUAACUACGUG